UACAGAGGGUGCGAGCGUUGUCCGGAAUCACUGGGCGUAAAGGGCGCGUAGGCGGCCUGAUAAGUAGGGGGGUGAAAUCCUGCGGCUUAACCGCAGGGCUGCCUUCUAAACUGUCGGGCUCGAGCACAGUAGAGGCAGGUGGAAUUCCCGGUGUAGCGGUGGAAUGCGUAGAGAUCGGGAAGAACAUCAGUGGCGAAGGCGGCCUGCUGGGCUGUUGCUGACGCUGAGGCGCGACAGCGUGGGGAGCAAACAGG
rnacentral:rRNA from 1 species